rnacentral:rRNA from 1 species
AACGAACGCUGGCGGCAUGCCUAACACAUGCAAGUCGAACGAGACCUUCGGGUCUAGUGGCGCACGGGUGCGUAACGCGUGGGAACCUGCCCGUAGGUUCGGAAUAACUCCCCGAAAGGGGUGCUAAUACCGGAUAAUGUCUUCGGACCAAAGAUUUAUCGCCUUUGGAUGGGCCCGCGUUGGAUUAGCUAGUUGGUAGGGUAAAAGCCUACCAAGGCGACGAUCCAUAGCUGGUCUGAGAGGAUGAUCAGCCACACUGGGACUGCGACACGGCCCAGACUCCUACGGGAGGCAGCAGUGGGGAAUCUUGGACAGCCGGCGCACGCCUGAUCCAGCAAUGCCGCGUGAGUGAUGCAGGCUUUAGGGUUGUAAAGCUCUAUUACCCGGGAUGAUAAUGACAGUACCGGGAGAAUAAGCUCCGGCUAACUCCGUG